rnacentral:rRNA from 1 species
CGGUCCAGACUCCUACGGGAGGCAGCAGUGGGGAAUAUUGCACAAUGGGCGCAAGCCUGAUGCAGCCAUGCCGCGUGUAUGAAGAAGGCCUUCGGGUUGUAAAGUACUUUCAGCGGGGAGGAAGGUGAUAAGGUUAAUAACCUUGUCGAUUGACGUUACCCGCAGAAGAAGCACCGGCUAACUCCGUGCCAGCAGCCGCGGUAAUACGGAGGGUGCAAGCGUUAAUCGGAAUUACUGGGCGUAAAGCGCACGC